rnacentral:lncRNA from 1 species
GGAUCCUUCACUUUUGGAGGACAUGAUUUCUUCAACAAGACACUGCAACUACCUUGUUCAUCAAUAGUUUCCUCAUCUAGAUAUAUCUUUUCUUUGAGGAACUGCUUCAUACGCUUUGCAUAGGAAGGAAUUUGCUCCAGUACUUUAGUCAACGAUAUAACAAUCUCCAAUUGAUUGAAGAUCUCUCUAAAACGCUCACAUUGUCUCUUUUUAUCUACUCUCUCACAUGCCUUUGGAUAAGGAUGAAUUUUUUCAUUUUUCUCACUUUUUUUCUCUCCCAUCUUCUUCCCUUCCUUUUUCAUCUCACCCUCACAUAUUUUCUCAUCUUUUUCCUCUCUCUUCUCUAACUCAACACUCUCUUUUUCCUUUUUCACUUUCUCCUUAACUACACUAUGGCCUUGCACUCUUCCUUAGGGUUAACCUCAGUAUUAGCCCCAAACUGCUUUUCUGCUUUCUCCUCCAUCCUCCAGUUGGCCAACCUACAUCUCCAGAU